AUGCCCUCCGUCGUCACCCCUUAGAAUCUGUUACCCCCGUUGGGACUAGAUCGGUACGGCGCACUCACUACUUCCAGAAUCCUAGCAUUUCGAGAAAGCGGACACUACUAUUACUGUCAUCGUCCAUUUCUUUGGGGCCGAUUGAGGCACGGUCGUCGGCGCCAUUAUGCCUCCCCCAAUCGCAACAAGCCUUAAUGACCCGCAUUUCGCGCGCAUCCGCCUGACCUUUCAACCCCCACUUUAGGGCCCCGAGUUGGGGCCUUGACGGAAGUUUUGAUAGUCAGAUCUCAAGCUCUCUCCACUCACCUUAACGCUCACAUCUCCACUUUAAGCAUCUAUAAGCGUCCUUGUGGUCACCGCUUCCGCCGAGUGACCGAGCUAUGACUGCGACUCCACGCUUUCACACCCCUCGUUUGUCCUAAUCUAUGGGACCAUCAGGUGUGGCAUUUGCUACUUACGGUCAGCAGCCCAACGUACGUUAAGCCACUGUGUGGAUUGCCUAAUUCGUAAGGCGGACCCCUCAUGCCAGCGU
rnacentral:rRNA from 1 species